rnacentral:rRNA from 1 species
GACGAACGCUGGCGGCGUGCUUAACACAUGCAAGUCGAACGGUGAAGCGCCUUCCUUUUUGGUGGGUGUGGAUGAGUGGCGAACGGGUGAGUAACACGUGAGUAACCUGCCCCCUUCUUCUGGAUUACCGCAUGAAAGUGUGGCUAAUACGGGAUAUUCUGGGUCUGUCGCAUGAUUGGUCUGGGAAAGAUUUUGUUUCGGUGGGGGAUGGGCUCGCGGCCUAUCAGCUUGUUGGUGGGGUGAUGGCCUACCAAGGCGGUGACGGGUAGCCGUCCUGAGAGGGUGGACGGUCACACUGGGAGUGAGACACGGCGCAGAAUACUAAGGGAGGCAGCAGUGGGGAAUAUGGCACAAUGGGCGCGAGCCUGAUGCAGCGACGCCGCGUGAGGGAUGGAGGCCUUCGGGUUGUGAACCUCUUUCGCGAGUGAAGAAGGCCUGCCGCGUUUGUGGGUGGGUUGACGGUAGCUGGAUAAGAAGCGCCGGCUAACUACGUG